UACAGGGGAUGCAAGCGUUAUUCGGAAUGAUUGGGCGUAAAGCGUCUGUGGGUGGCUUUGUAAGUCUGCUGUUAAAUCCCAGGGCUUAACCCUGGACAGGCGGUGGAGACUACUAAGCUAGAGUACGGUAGAGGCAGAGGGAAUUUCCGGUGGAGCGGUGAAAUGCGUAGAGAUCGGAAAGAACACCAAAGGCGAAGGCACUCUGCUGGGCCGUGACUGACACUGAGAGACGAAAGCUAGGGGAGCGAAUGGG
rnacentral:rRNA from 1 species